CUAUCAGACGGUGGGUCCACACAUCAGCAUUUUUCUUUUUCCUCCUUCCAAAGGUAGCUUCUCUCUCCCUACCUUCGUUUCUCGUAGCAAGCAGGCCAGCACCCGUGGCAGCCCCUCCCCUGGGACGCCCGCCGGCUCCCAUCCGCGCCCUGCUGCCCCUUUGGCUCCUUCCGUCCGCGUCACCGAAUCGAAGCGGCGCGCGUGCAGCUGGGAGCAGGCGAGCGGAGUGAGGCGAUUUGCGGCAGCACGGAGGCUCCUGUGUCCCUGUAGUGAAGGCACGACGGUCGGGCGGUACUGGCUGGAGAUCCGGCGGCGCGCGGCCACCCUCGGCGUCCCUCCGUGGCACAGCAGCCGGCGGGGCCCGUGUGGGGUUUGGGGGUGGCUGCUCUGCUGCCUCCGGUGGGGGAUUCUUGGUGGUGUUUCUGUGUUCAGGAUCGGUUUGAUCCAACUGUGUUGGGAACCAAGAAAAAGAUGCAGGAAUUGGAUUGUGUGUUCCUUGUUUCUUUGCUUGUGAAAUUGAAAAAAGCGAUUUUAGCGAGUGGGGUGGGGCGGCAGCCGAGGCUUCCUUGCUCAUUUCGUUGUUGCUAGUAUAUGAACUGCACAGACUAGUUUCGACAACUUGCACGCCUCCAAUCAAGUGGCCAAGCACCAAACAACUUAAACUUUCUCGCCAUGGACGACUACCUCGGCUCGUUGCAAAGGUAUUAGAUGCAAAGGCUCGUUGCAAAGGUUUGAUGAAGAUGAAGAGGAGGUCGCGACAUACAACCAGCUGUUGCAAGCAGAGAGCUCUCGCACGCGUCGUUGAUCCAAUGCGCCACCAACGGUCAUUCGGCCGAGGGACCUUCCUUCUGGUCACAAGAGGAUCAAAGCUGACUACUUCAUUCUAGAUCGUGUUGACAAUGAUAAGCAGUUCUGUAGAAGAUUUCAGGUGUGUAGCCAUUUAUUCAAGCACAUAAAAGAGGCGGUGAAAAGUCGUGAUAACUACUUCAAAAAGACGUGUGAUGUCACUGGCAAGGAAGGACUAUCGGCUCUUCAGAAGCACAUAAAUUAGUGCUGGGCAGACUUGCUGUUGCUCCACAUCUACCUCAACGCUUUGCAUACGUGCUUCUGUGUUUUCAGCAAGAGAAUACACUUGUGGGGCACUAGUACCAGGGUUCAACAAACCGGUGGGAACCGGUCCGGUUUGACCGGUUACCGGUCAAACCGGUCCGGACCGGUUCCGGUUUCGGCCGGUACCCAACCGGCCAAAAUUCAAAAUUUAAAUUUAAAUUC